rnacentral:rRNA from 1 species
AAGCGUGCGCAGGCGGUAAUGUAAGACAGAUGUGAAAUCCCCGGGCUCAACCUAGGGAACUGCAUUUGUGACUGCAUUGCUGGAGUGCGGCAGAGGGGGAUGGAAUUCCGCGUGUAGCAGUGAAAUGCGUAGAUAUGCGGAGGAACACCGAUGGCGAAGGCAAUCCCCUGGGCCUGCACUGACGCUCAUGCACGAAAGCGUGGGGAGCAAACAGGAUUAGAUACCCCUGU